AGCUCCAAUAGCGUAUAUUAAAGUUGUUGCAGUUAAAAAGCUCGUAGUUGGAUUUUGAGUUUUGUAAGCUUGGUCUACUAUUUAGUAGUACUGACUUGCUGGCUCUUCUUCUCGAGGCCUAUGAGUGCACUUAACCGUGUGUUCAUAGUGUUCGGGACUUUUACCGUGAGAAAAUUAGAGUGUUCAUAGCAGGCUUUUGCUUGAAUAUUGCAGCAUGGAAUAAUGGAAUAGGAUCAUGAUCUUAUUUUGUUGGUUUCUAAGAUCAAGAUAAUGAUUAAUAGGGAUAGUUGGGGGCGUUAAUAUUUAGUUGUCAGAGGUGAAAUUCUUAGAUUUACAAAAGAUUAACUUCUGCGAAAGCAUUCGCCAAGGAUGUUUUCGUUAAUCAAGAACGAAAGUACGC
rnacentral:rRNA from 1 species